rnacentral:rRNA from 1 species
CUUGAUGCAAAACAAAUACAACUUUCAGCAACGGAUCUCUUGGCUCUCGCAUCGAUGAAGAACGCAGCGAAAUGCGAUAAGUAAUGUGAAUUGCAGAAUUCAGUGAAUCAUCGAAUCUUUGAACGCACCUUGCACUCCUUGGUAUUCCGAGGAGUAUGCCUGUUUGAGUGUCAUGAAAUUAUCAACUUCACAGUUUUAUUACUUUGAAGCUUGGAUUUGGAAGCAUGCUGGCUCUCUAGUCGGCUCUUCUCAAAUGUAUUAGCUGCUUGUCCGUGGGUUGGCUCAGAGUGUGAUAAGUAUCUACACUUGGUGGCUGCUUGCUUGGAUGUGGCUUCUAAUCGUCUUCGGACAAUUCAUUAAGAUCUGACCUCAAAUCAGGUAGGACUACCCGCUGAACUUAAGCAUAUCAAUAAGCGGAGGA